rnacentral:rRNA from 1 species
AGCAGCCGCGGUAAUUCCAGCUCCAAUAGCGUAUAUUAAAGUUGUUGCAGUUAAAAAGCUCGUAGUUGAAUUUCGGGGUCAGUAGGUUGGUCGUGCCACUGGUACGUACUGGUCUCACUGAUUCCUCCUUCCUGAUGAACCGUAAUGCCAUUAAUUUGGUGUUGCGGGGAAACUGGACUGUUACUUUGAAAAAUUAGAGUGUUUAAAGCAGGCUAACGCUUGAAUACAUUAGCAUGGAAUAAUGAAAUAGGACGUUCGAUCCUAUUUUGUUGGUUUCUAGGAUUGACGUAAUGAUUAAUAGGGAUAGUUGGGGGCAUUAGUAUUCAAUUGUCAGAGGUGAAAUUCUUGGAUUUAUUGAAGACUAACUACUGCGAAAGCAUUUGCCAAGGAUGUUUUCAUUAAUCAAGAACGAAAGUUAGGGGAUCGAAGACGAUCAGAUACCGUCGUAGUCUUAACCAUAAACUAUGCCGACUAGGGAUCGGAUGAUGUUAAUUUUUAAUGUACUCA